rnacentral:rRNA from 1 species
AGGAAUUGGCGGGGGAGCACCACAAGGGGUGAAGCCUGCGGUUCAAUUGGAGUCAACGCCGGAAAUCUUACCGGGGGCGACAGCAGAGUGAAGGUCAAGCUGAAGACUUUACCAGACAAGCUGAGAGGAGGUGCAUGGCCGUCGCCAGCUCGUGCCGUGAGGUGUCCUGUUAAGUCAGGUAACGAGCGAGACCCCUACCGCUAGUUGCUAUCGCUACUCUCAGGAGUGGCGGGGCUAAUUAGUGGGACCGCCGCCGCUGAGGCGGAGGAAGGAGGGGGCUACGGCAGGUCAGUAUGCCCCGAAACCCUCGGGCCACACGCGGGCUGCAAUGGUAAGGACAAUGGGUUUCAAUCCCGAAAGGGGGAGGCAAUCCGUAAACCUUACCACAGUUAUGAUUGAGGGCUGAAACUCGCCCUCAUGAAUAUGGAAUCCCUAGUAACCGCGUGUCAUCAUCGCGCGGUGAAUACGUCCCUGCUCCUUGCACACACCGCCCGUC